GACGAACGCUGGCGGCGUGCUUAACACAUGCAAGUCGAACGGAAAGGCCCUGCUUUUGUGGGGUGCUCGAGUGGCGAACGGGUGAGUAACACGUGAGUAACCUGCCCUUGACUUUGGGAUAACUUCAGGAAACUGGGGCUAAUACCGGAUAGGAGCUCCUGCUGCAUGGUGGGGGUUGGAAAGUUUCGGCGGUUGGGGAUGGACUCGCGGCUUAUCGGCUUGUUGGUGGGGUAGGGGCUUACCAAGGCUUUGACGGGUAGCCGGCCUGAGAGGGUGACCGGCCACAUUGGGACUGAGGUACGGACCAGACUCCUACGGGAGGCAGCAGUGGGGAAUAUGGCACAGUGGGCGGAAGCCUGAGGCAGCAACGCCGCGUGCGGGAUGACGGCCUUCGGGUUGUAAACCGCUUUCGCCUGUGACGAAGCGUGAGUGACGGUAAUGGGUAAAGAAGCACCGGCUAACUACGUG
rnacentral:rRNA from 1 species